UACAAGCUGCUUUGCCCGUAACCAUAAUAAAGUUUUAACCUUUAAGCUGUAAUAGGGAGUUUUAUAUCGAAGCUGGAAUGACAAGCCUCUGUCACAUGUGACAAGGAGGACAUGCAGGAAGGUUUCUGCAAACACCCACUUUGAGGAGUGGUGGUUUAAAACUUUCUUAUAUUUAUUACGGCAAAAGUGGCUUACAU
rfam:Bacillus infantis NRRL B-14911, complete genome.